rnacentral:sRNA from 1 species
UGUGGGUAGUGGUGGGACUAUGGGGACUGCGUCCAGUGGAACUGGAAGCUCUGUUGGGAGGACAUCUCCCGGGAGGAGUGUUGGAGAGGCGGUCAGUGAUUGGGCGAGUGAGGCUGGCUGGACGGUGAAGAGGACAGCUGGGAAGUUGAGGUUCUGGAGAUGAGUAUUUUAAGAUUCUCCUUUUUGCUUUUGAAACGGUUGGAUCUCCUGUUUUAUAUCUAGGUUUUUUUUAUGUUUUUAUCCCUGAUGAUGUCCUAAUGGCCUGGGAUUUCCUUGUUGGAAUAUUUAUAUUAAUGAUGGCCUUUUUAUCUGUUGAUGUAUGUAUGUAUGUAUGCUUGUUUGUGUGGUUGUGUUUCGACACUUUUGGAAUCAUCUCCUUCGUCUUCCCACCAAAAACCUCUAAAUCCCUUUUUGUUUUGUAUAUGUGAUGAUGUUUUUAUGUUUCUUAUGGCUAUGCAGCACAUAACCAUCUUUAUGUGUAUUGAUUGAAGAAGAAAUGUUCAUUGAUAUCCAUAGGG